UGCCAGACUCCUACGGGAGGCAGCAGUGGGGAAUAUUGCACAAUGGGGGAAACCCUGAUGCAGCAACGCCGCGUGAGUGAAGAAGUAUUUCGGUAUGUAAAGCUCUAUCAGCAGGGAAGAAAAUGACGGUACCUGAGUAAGAAGCCCCGGCUAACUACGUGCCAGCAGCCGCGGUAAUACGUAGGGGGCAAGCGUUAUCCGGAUUUACUGGGUGUAAAGGGAGCGUAGACGGCGAUACAAGUCUGAAGUGAAAGCCCGGGGCUCAACCCCGGGACUGCUUUGGAAACUGUGUUGCUGGAGUGCUGGAGAGGCAAGCGGAAUUCCUAGUGUAGCGGUGAAAUGCGUAGAUAUUAGGAAGAACACCAGUGGCGAAGGCGGCUUGCUGGACAGUAACUGACGUUGAGGCUCGAAAGCGUGGGGAGCAAACAGGAUUAGAUACCCGGGUA
rnacentral:rRNA from 1 species